AUGGGCAAGCUACGGAAAGCUUCUCAUUGGGAUGUUCCCGUAGUAUCAUCUUUAGAUAGUGCUGAUUCUGGAGGUGAAGCAUUUGUGCCUAAUGAUUUUGCAGAAGAUGGUUCUUUCCCUGUGUCUAUGGAAUUAUCUGGUGACGAAGGAGGGCUUGACAAAGCUCUUCUGAAGUUCUAUCUUAACCGAAAAGUAAAAUGCCUCAAGAGGAAAUUAUCAUCUGCUUCAAGGAGGAAUGUGAGGCAGAAAAGCUCUAGCGAUUACCCUACUUGUGCUACUUUCACUAGAUAUUCUGGGAAGUUCUUCUCUGGUGUUGUUGAUGGUUUAUGUUCUAGGUAUCGAGAUGUUGUCCAGAGAUAUGGCAUGGGCUGUCUCUUAGAGUUUGUUAGGACCGAGGUGCCCCUUAGGUUAGUGAAGUGGCUCGCCAGUAGGUUUGAUGUCCUUUCAUCUGAAUUCCAGCUCAAAAAGAAAUUUAUCCCAAUGACCAAGUAUGAUAUUCAUGACAUCCUCGACCUUCCAGUAGAUGGUGAGCCACUUGUGUGUGAUGCUGAAUCCGGCCGUGAUUUUAUCCUCUCUCACUUCAACUUGACCAGUAUUCCUCCCGUGUCCUUCUUUGCUAACAAGCUAAAAUCAACCACAGUCGGGUUGCCUGAUGAAGAUGUCUUUAUCUGUUUCAUGAUUGUUGCUUUUUCAUCAUUCCUUUGUCCCAACUCUAGCCUCAGUCCUAGCCCAAAGUACCUUCACAUCUUCCGGGAUUGUCCUUCUGUGCGUAACUAUGAUCUGUCAAAAUUUGUUUAUGAGUGGCUGUUGAGUUGCAUAAAAAAGUUCAAGGAUUCCACUAAAGUUGCUUCCAAAAGAUCAGUGACGUUUGGCGGUUGUCACUACGCUUUUGCUCUUGUGUCACAAUGUAGUAUUUGUCCUUUUCUUGCUCAAAGACAUGCAGCCUUGUUGUGUCUGCCAUUUUAA
rnacentral:rRNA from 1 species